UAGGGAAUAUUGGACAAUGGGCGCAAGCCUGAUCCAGCCAUGCCGCGUGAGUGAAGAAGGCCCUCGGGUUGUAAAGCUCUUUUGUCCGGAAAGAAAAGCAUCGGGCUAAUACCCUGGUGUUCUGACGGUACCGGAAGAAUAAGCACCGGCUAACUUCGUGCCAGCAGCCGCGGUAAUACGAAGGGUGCAAGCGUUACUCGGAAUUACUGGGCGUAAAGCGUGCGUAGGUGGUUUGUUAAGUCUGAUGUGAAAGCCCUGGGCUCAACCUGGGAAUGGCAUUGGAAACUGGCGGACUCGAGUGCGGUAGAGGGGUGUGGAAUUCCCGGUGUAGCAGUGAAAUGCGUAGAGAUCGGGAGGAACACCAGUGGCGAAGGCGACACCCUGGACCAGCACUGACACUGAGGCACGAAAGCGUGGGGAGCAAACAGGAUUAGAUACCCUGGUAGUCCACGCCCUAAACGAUGCGAACUGGAUGUUGGGUGCAACUUGGCACUCAGUAUCGAAGCUAACGCGUUAAGUUCGCCGCCUGGGGAGUACGGUCGCAAGACUGAAACUUAAUGAAUUGACGGGGUCAUAGCUGUUUCC
rnacentral:rRNA from 1 species